CUAGGCUGUCUUUGAAUCCUGAGAAGGGGCAGAAAUUCAGGUACAAAAAUCGGUUUACCACUGUGUUGGUGAAAUUGUUUAAAUGUGGUUUAAUUGCUUCAUGGUUGGAAACAAAGAACAGUGGGAGACAGUAUGUCCAUUGAUUUCGAAAGCAUUGAUGUUUUGCUAGGAGAGCUUAGUUGCUUCUUUCAAAAGGGAUCCAUUCACUUGCAAUUGUCAUGACCGAGACAGAAAGAGGAGGACUUGAGAAAUACAAAGCCCACUUGAAGAUGUGAUGAUACUUGGAGCAUCUGUCAAAGAUGUGAUCUAAUGAACUCAGGGUUGCUGUGACAAAUUAAGGCUCAAGAAAUCGUGUCAUUCAUCUCUUUACAAAUUGACGAUUGAUCAGAAACCAAGUGGUGGAAAAAAAAAAAGGUGAUUGGUUAUUACUCCAUUUGGCUCCUCGGGCAUUUUACCCAAGACUUGAGUUUUUAUACCUUCCUUUAAGAUGAUAUCGCAUGCAAAAAUCCUUAGGUUUCUCUGUUUUUAUUUCUUACUUGAAGAAUGAAGGCAUGAACAACUGCCAAAGUUCUCACUCAAAUGGAUAUAAUGUAGACAAUUGAUUGUUAGAGAGCGGACAACCACAAUUUCCUCUUAUAUACCUGAAAUUGUUUUAGUUUAUUA